GUCCACAAUCCAACGCAACUGCUUGUCUUACUCCAUCCCAAAAAAAAAAUUCUUCUUUUCUCCUCUCCUCUCCUAUCCUUCUUUCAUGGACGCCUCGAGGCAGCUGCCAAAAGCCCCUGCAAAAACAUUUUCUCUCAAGAACUAUAUGUUGUACCAGUUUGUUAAAAAAUCUCACCUUGAAUAAAAAAAAAUUUACUUACUUUGUGUGUGCUGCUGAUUAUUUUCAUCCUCUGCUCGGAUUUCUCUUGUCCUCUUCACCGGGGUUAUCCGGGCCAUCGGGUAAAUUAUACCUGAUUAAUCCCCCACCGGCCCGAGAGGAGAGGUCCCAUCCCCCCGAACACGAUAACCAUGGGACUCGAACCCUGGCGGGACUGGACAACAGCUCCUAAAGAGGCAUGCUGUGACCAACCGAGCUGCCCAUGAGGGGCAUUUUCAGUGAUUCUAUUUGAAUGCUUGAUCUUUAAAAUUUACUGUGUUGGUUGAAGUUGUAUAAGUUUAUAAUUGUUUGAAAUUAUUUGUGUUUGUUAAAGCUAUUAAUUGUGGAGACACUAGUUCGGUUGUGGGAUUGGUAGUUCAAUAAAUUGAGAGCUAAUGUUAGUUUUCAAUCUCCAAAUGCUUAUUUAAACAAUGACAUUUGAAUGAUCCGGUUGUUGUCACUUUUAUGAAGUGGACAUAGACAUUAAGUGAAUUAGGACC